AACAUCUAUAGCCCUUGCAAAAAGUUCCGGGAAAGCCAAAAGGGGGAAACCGUUUCAAGUGCUUAUCGCGGCAGAGAGAUUCGGUGGCCGGAAGCGAUUUCGCGAUGUUAUUACUUUACAAUUGCUUUCUCCAACUCUCGCAAUCUCUUUAGGUUUUCUAUUAUCCCCUCAUUAUUUGACUUGAUCGACUUUUUUCUUGUUUUAGCAGAUUGUCUCUUCGUUAAUUUGUACAUCGUGGCUCUUGAUAACGGAGCUGUCGUCGGCUGAAAGAAUUACUUCCACCUGACAGACAAACAGAGUAUAUGCGUGUAUGAAGUAGAGUUAUCUUCUACGUGCAGCAUUUUCUCUUUGAGCAUUGAAGUAGACAGCAGCAACUGGUGUCCUCACUGAUUGCCUUGCUUUUUGCUUGAACAAUAAGAACACAUACCUGUGGAUUCCUAUCACAGGCUUCGGAAUUUCAUAGCUCACAAUCUCCCUCCCUGUUACAUCACAUCCACACUCAUAUAUUUUACUCACUUCACCUAUUCAUUCAACAUAUUAUAUUUAUUAUUAUUAAUAUCCGUGCAUCAUGAAAUUUUACUUACCAAA